GCAGUGGUAUUUACAACUAAUUGAUCACAACCAGUUACAGAUUCCUUUGUUCCUUCUCCCCUACCACUGCNNN
rnacentral:sRNA from 1 species